rnacentral:lncRNA from 10 species
CCGAGGGCGCGGCACACCCCGGGCGCCCCCACCCCGAAGCGAGCCCGGGGCCCUCUGCUGCGGAGCCUAGCUCCCGCGGUAGCGCAGCCAUGGCACGGGCUGUUACUGUGUCCGAAUAAACGAUGGGAGCCUCCAGGCUGCUCCUCCCGUCCUUCCAAGCAUUCCUAGGGAGAGGAUUUAGGGGAAGCCCUCUUGAAAGACUGUAGAAUAACCCAGGACUGUAGAAGAGCCUUGUCAGCAGCAGUGACCCGGGAGAUGGGCAAUGCAGGACCGGGAAUUUCAGGUUAAGGUUGAUCACCAAGGUCAUUCCGAGCACCUCGAUGUCUGCAGCAAAGUCGUCUCCCGAUACCAGAGGGCAAGGGCCGCUUCUAAGCUACAGAAACUUAAGUGACUUUGAAACGAGAUAGCCCGGGGACAGCCCAGGUGCCUCUUUCCUAGACCUGUGCGUUUGCGGAGAUGCAACUACCCUUCUGUCCCAGCCUUCUUCCCGUCCUGUUCGCUGCUGGUGAUUGUCGGCUCCAUGGUGGCACCUGAAGUUUAUCCGGUUGCCACCUGAAAAUGACGGAGUACUUACAUGGAAAAUCUGUAUUACAGUUUAACUCAACAUCAAAAGGGCAAAGCCGCCCUCACUCUCCUCACGGUGAUCCUUGAACAUCCAGCACAAGAAUGUGGUCUUUCUACUCCCAACCCUGCGCUGUCUUCAUCCUCUAUCUUCUCCCCACCCUCAUUGUCGUUUCUGGUUGAAUAAUCUUCAUUCUUUAUUGUUGUCGUUGUUGUUGUUGCUGUUUUUGUUUGUUUAAUCCCUGCCUCUUUGUAGUGCCCUCAUCUCUCGUUUCUUUGAACUACAACUGGUCCCCAGUGCCUGUCAUGGUAAUCUGGUAGACCAUUUCUAUCACGAACAACUCUCAUGGCUGAGGCCCCCGGUUGUGUGUGUUGUGUGCGUGUGUAUUUGGAGAAAGACCAUUCACUGAAAGGAACGGGGCCAGUCCUUACUCCGUGGAACUCAGACCUCUCCUCUUCGCCCACAAUCCCCUCAGAAAUGCUAGAGGGAAUGUCUACUGAGUCGAAAGUCCUACAGAUUUGUCUCUGUUCCUUCCCAUUGCAAAACCAAAUCGCUUUCAUGUUUCUGGGACCCACUCUUUCUUCACCCAGACAUAAAAAGAGAAAACGUGUGCAGUGACGACCAGCGGAACGGAAGGAGCACUGGACUGAGAUUUAGGAGGCCUGGCUCCUACGCCUUGCAGUUUCUUCAUGUCGUGUGCAAGGUGGUAACCACUCUGCCUGUUUUCUCACCUUCAAAUAAUACCUACCUCUCAGGACUGUCGAGAAAUGCUGAGUAUACUGAGAAAAAAAAAAAAACUAAAAAACUGGACGAGUUCUUGUAGGUGUGAAUGCUUUCUUCGUUUUCUAUUUUUUUCAAGUGAUGAGGAGAAAACAGAAAGGGGAAUUAUCCUCUUAUAAGUCCAGAACGCAUGCAUUCAACCACUCAAAUAUUUGGGGCCAUACUAAGAGGAAGGCUGGAGUCCAGUGGCACAAUCUCGGCCCAUUGCAACCUCUGCCUCCCAGGUUCAAGCAAUUCUCAUGCCUCAGCCUCCUGAGUAGCUAGGAUUACAGGUGUCCACCACCACGCUCAGCUAAUUUUUGUAUUUUUAGUAGAGACGGGGUUUCACCAUGUUGUCCAGGCUGGCCUCAAACUCCUGACCUCAGGCUAUCCGCC